rnacentral:lncRNA from 1 species
CUUGUUUCCUCUACCAGCAGGGCCAAGACCAUAAUAAAUCAGACGUUUGUGAAGCUACGUGGCCUCACUACCUGGCUCUUCUCCUUGGCCACAAAACAGGAUUCAGAAUUUGUGAGCUGGUCGAUUGCUUUUUCUCAAUAAGCGUGGCGGGUAGUUUUCGGUCCCUAUUUUUCAGCUUCCUCCUGUGUUUUAUGCCUUAUAUUUACUAUGAAAUGAUAGAAGAAUAUUUAAUACACAAAUUAUGUUAG